rnacentral:rRNA from 1 species
UACGAAGGGGGCAAGCGUUGUUCGGAUUUACUGGGCUUAAAGAGCUCGCAGACGGUUUUUCAAGUAAGAUGUGAAAGCCCUAAGCUCAACUUAGGAAGUGCAUUUUAAACUAAAUUACUAGAGUAUGGUAGAGGAAAGUAGAAUUUCUAGUGUAGAGGUGAAAUUCGUUGAUAUUAGAAGGAAUACCAAAAGCGAAGGCAGCUUUCUGGACCAUUACUGACGUUGCGGAGCGAGAGCGUGGGGAGCAAACAGG